rnacentral:lncRNA from 1 species
AGAUCGUCCCGAGCGCGCCGCGGUCCAGGCGGGCACAGCGCAGGGUCAAGUUCACGUCCGGCCCGCGGGCUGCCCGAGGUCCCCGGGCGCGGCUGGGGCAGCGGGAGGCGCGGGAGGCCGAGGUCCGGGUGGCCGCCGCGGCCGCCCCCGAAGCGCUGCUGUCACCCCGGCCGCGCCCCCCAACUUUCUGCACAGUCGCGGAGCUGGAAGUUUCCGGGCUUCGCGGACACGCUGGGCUGGGUUUCAGUCGCGGCUCCGAGGUUGGCAACAAAGAGGGAAAGAAGGAGGAAAAGCAGGCCGGGGAGGGGAGGAAGAGAACCGCGCGGAGGCCGCGGCGCCGAGAGCCCCAGAACUUCCAAUUCUACCCAGAAGCUUUUUUCGUCGUGUUUUUCUCUUAGGUAAACAAGCAAGUUCCACGCCCCAGUCCUGCUGGGGCCUUCGCCAGCCACCGCUCUGGGCUCAUCUCCCGGCGCCUCCUCGGGGCACCUGAGCGUUUUAAGCCCCACUGCCAAGUGUUUUGGACACAGGUUUUUUUGCGGGGUGGUGAGGUUGGGCACAAGAUGCUUCCUAAAAGGUUGUUGGCACGCAGACCAUGGCCCCAGUGACGGAGCGGUAGGCAGGGGCUUGAGGAACACGCUGUCUUUGUCUCGUCCCCAAAGCACCCGGCCGUGGGUCACCCGUGAUCCCUGGAGUGGAGGGACUGUUGUGACCCCUGGUGCUCCAGGAGAAGGGGUUCCAUGCUGGGUCCCGGGCCCAGGCCCACGGUGCCCUCAGCCUGCAGUUCUCCACCUUGCGGAAUGAUUUGCUGGCCCGGCCCAGCUCCCCGGCACCACCAUUUUCUGCCCUCUUUUCCCUGCCUGGCUUCAAACCCUCCCAGGCAAGGGUCCCGAGGAGACACCUGGGCUGGGGGAGGCAACUGAGUGGCCCCAGGCCUGGGAAUCUGCAAAAGUGGCCAAGCCACAUCUCUCGAGACUGCAAGGGCCCUGGAGGCGCUGGGAGGCACAGAUCUGGCUGCCAGCUGGGCCUGAGGCCUCCCUUUGUCCGUCCUUCCUGUUCUUCCUCACCAGACAUGAUCCUCUCUGAGGUUGGUCCUGGGCUUCCAUACGUGAUUCAUGGAAGAGGUCUCAGCCCCAAGAGCCCCUGAGGGUACUGUCCACUCCCCCUGGAAACUUCCAGAACCUGACGUGGGGCUGAAGACAUAGAGGCUCUGAGAGUUACAUAAUUGAUUCUGACUUUGGCUGUUGGUCAACAGUGUCAUAAGGCUGUUGUAGAAUCUGCUCAGCCAGGGAGGGGAAAGGAGUCGGCAAUCAGGUCUCCUCCUGGGCACCUUUGUGAGGCCAGCUGGCGAGAGUGGGGGGUGACACUGAGGUCCCAGCAGCUCCAAAUGCAGGCAGAGCCCUGUCCUCAGAGAAGGUCACAGCCUAGCCAAGCCCAGCCAGGUGGAUGGGCCCACGGAACGCACAGGAACCUGGAACGGAGGUUGAAAGCAGGAAGCACAGUCUGUGACUCCCCAGCCCACUCUGCAUUCGACCACUUGGGGCCCAGAAGCUUCAGGAAAGGUGCACAAGGUCACUGGGUCCCAGUACUCCCAACAGGAAGGUCUGGUCCAGGGACAGGGCUCUUCCCGACUCCCCUUAGCCACACGCACCAGAAGUUCUGCAGUGCCCAGUGGGCAUAGCAGUCCCCAAGAAUGACCCAGCACUGAAGCUGAGCCAAAGAACUUGGGGAGCGAGCCACACCCCCUCACUCCCUCUUCGCCUGCUCCAGACUUGCCAGGCGGUUGCUUUUCGUGGGAACCGGGAUGUCCUCACCACCCUGUCCAGGGCCCAGCCCCAUGUCCCUGGCCUGCUACAGCUGGAAAAAAAAAAGAGAGAUGUUUGUUUUUAUUUGUUUAUAAAAAGAAAAGUGUUAUAUAUAUAACAUAUUAUACCUCAUGAAUACAUACAAUUAUUUGUCAAUUAACAAUAAAGAAAAAUACAGCAAGCAAAAAAGACUCUCUUCCACAAAAAUAGUGUUCAUUACAGAAAAGUACAAAAAAAAAAAAAAAAAACUAAGAGGAUAUUUAGAAUUAAGAAAAAACUAAGAGGGUAUUUAGAAUUAAAAAAUAAAAAGAAAACAAUUACCCAUGAGGUAAUUACUGAAUGCAUUUGGUUGAAAGUCCUUCUGCUAUAUUUUCCAAACUGUAUGUGUAUAUAUGUGCGCAUGCAUAUAUGUGUUUGUGUGUGUGUACACAUAUCUAUAUGAAUGGACCAUAUCGUAAGUUAUAAAUGCAUACAUAUAUUCAUGUAUAUAUAAUCAUUAGAUCAUACUAUAGGUUAUUUUACAGUCUUUUUGUUGAAUACGUUGUGAGCAUUUUAUGUCAUUAUUUUCUACAAGAUUUGAAAAAUAAAGUAUAAAUACCAGUUAAUUUUUGAAAUCAACCUUAUUAAGGAAUAAGUUCCAUGCAGCAAAAUCCCUUUCACCUCUACUGUUCGAUGAGUUUUGACAAUGUAUGCAACCGUGACAUGUAUCACCACGAUCAAGAAAGAAAACAUCACCACAAAAUGUUCCCUAGAGCCCCUUGCAGGCAGUCUCUGACUUCCUGGCAGCCAGCAAUCUGAAUCCAACCACCGUAGAUCAGUUUCAAUUUAUUAAAAAAAAAUUUUAACUCAUGGAGUAUGAACUCUUGCUCGGGAUCCUGCUAUCUAUGUUGUUGAGUUUAUCAAUAGCCCAUUCCUUUUUACUGCUACGUGAUAUUUUAUCAUAUGCCUAUUGACAUUUGUUUACCCACUCACAUACUGAUGGACAAUUGAAUUGUUUGUGUUGUCUGUUUGUUUGUUUUUUGAGACAGGGUCUCACUGUCACCCAGGCUGGAGUGCAGUGGUGCAAUCUCGGCUCACUGCAACCUCUGCCUCCCAGGCUCAAGUGAUCCACCUCGGCCUCCCAAAGUGCUGAAAUUACAGGCGUGAGCCACUGUGCCUGGCCUGUUUCUGAUUUUUUAAAAUGUUUGCUAUUGUGACUAGAACUUUGUGAAUGCCAAUUAAUUUUUACAGUGUUUUAAUGAGCAAUGUCACCCGCACGUGCUGUGAAUGCCCACGCAUGUGGGCACAGCCUGUGUGUUUCCUUCCUGGAGCACUUGAGAUGGGGAAACCAAGAGAUGGGGGGUGAAGAAAGGAGCCAGAGGCCACACAGCUGGUUAGGAACAGGCUAGGGGAACCCAGCCUCUAAAUCCCAGUAUUCCAGGACAACAUGCUGCCAUACUCUCACAACACUUGCCUGUAUCAGAAAUGCUUGUAAUUUUCCCACACAGAGAAAUUUCCAUGAAAAUCAAGUUGUGGGCUGAGAGAUGAAAGGCAGCCUCAUGUUAAUUAGGCAGGCUUUGGUUUGGUCCGUCCACCAAGCUCAGGGGUGUGUGUGAAUAUCUCUAUUUUCAUACACACAUGCACACACGCACACACACACACACACACACACACGGACACGUCGCUCACACCCACCAACGCCAGUGGCGAUGAUCCAGUCCAGAUCUUUUCUAUACUGCCUUCAGAGCAC